CCUACGGGAGGCUGCAGUGGGGAAUAUUGGACAAUGGGGGGAACCCUGAUCCAGCCAUGCCGCGUGUGUGAAGAAGGCCCUCGGGUUGUAAAGCACUUUCAGUGAGGAAGAACGCCUGGUGGUUAAUACCCAUCAGGAAAGACAUCACUCACAGAAGAAGCACCGGCUAACUCCGUGCCAGCAGCCGCGGUAAUACGGAGGGUGCGAGCGUUAAUCGGAAUUACUGGGCGUAAAGCGCGCGUAGGUGACUUGAUAAGCCGGUUGUGAAAGCCCCGGGCUCAACCUGGGAACGGCAUCCGGAACUGUCAAGCUAGAGUGCAGGAGAGGAAGGUAGAAUUCCCGGUGUAGCGGUGAAAUGCGUAGAGAUCGGGAGGAAUACCAGUGGCGAAGGCGGCCUUCUGGACUGACACUGACACUGAGGUGCGAAAGCGUGGGUAGCAAACAGGAUUAGAUACCCCAGUAGUC
rnacentral:rRNA from 1 species